GACGAACGCUGGCGGCGCGCUUAACACAUGCAAGUCGAACGGAAAGGCCUGCUUUCCCUUGUGGAUUGCGGGUACUCGAGUGGCGAACGGGUGAGUAACACGUGAGUGAUCUGCCCCCAACUUGGGUAUAAGCCUGGGAAACUGGGUCUAAUUCCCGAUAGGACUGCAGGGUGGUGCCUGUGGUGGAAAACGAUUUUCUAGUGGUUGGGGAUGAGCUCGCGGCCUAUCAGCUUGUUGGUGGGGUAAUGGGCUACCAAGGCGGCGACGGGUAGCCGGCCUGGGAGGGUGGACGGCCACAUUGGGACUGAGAUACGGCCCAGACUCCUACGGGAGGCAGCAGUGGGGAAUAUUGCACAAUGGGCGGAAGCCUGAUGCAGCGACGCCGCGUGGGGGAUGACGGCCUUCGGGUUGUAAACUCCUUGCGACCGCGAGGAAGCCACCUGGUUGGAAGGGUGGUGACGGUAGUGGUAGAAGAAGCACCGGCUAACUACGUG
rnacentral:rRNA from 1 species